rnacentral:rRNA from 1 species
GGAGGUAAAAGUUGUAAAAAGGUUUCCGUGGGGGAACCAGCGGGGGGAUCAUUA